AACCUAUGAUGAGGACACUCUCUAGUGUAUCCUUUAAGUCUCUCCCAUGCUUCAUUAAAAGUCUCAUGGGUUCCUUGAUUGAAGCUCAAGAAUUUUCCUAGCUU
rfam:Eutrema salsugineum unplaced genomic scaffold scaffold_12, whole genome shotgun sequence.